rnacentral:rRNA from 1 species
UGGGGAAUCUUGGACAAUGGGCGCAAGCCUGAUCCAGCAAUGCCGCGUGGGUGAAGAAGGCCUGCGGGUUGUAAAGCCCUUUUGGUGGGGAGGAAAGGUUUUGAGCGAAGACCACAAGACCGUGACGUUACCCACAGAAGAAGCACCGGCCAACUCCGUGCCAGCAGCCGCGGUAAUACGGAGGGUGCGAGCGUUAAUCGGAAUUACUGGGCGUAAAGGGCGCGUAGGUGGUGCGUUGAGUCAGCUGUGAAAGCCCUGGGCUUAACCUGGGAAUGGCAGUUGAGACUGGCGUGCUGGAGUGCGACAGAGGACGGCGGAAUUCCCGGUGUAGCGGUGAAAUGCGUAGAGAUCGGGAAGAACACCGAUGGCGAAGGCAGCCGUCUGGGUUGACACUGACGCUGAGGCGCGAAGGCGUGGGGAGCAAACAGG